GACGAACGCUGGCGGCGUGCUUAACACAUGCAAGUCGAACGGAAAGGCCCUGAGUUUGUGGGGUGCUGGAGUGGCGAACGGGUGAGUAACACGUGAGUAACCUGCCCUUGACUUUGGGAUAACUUCAGGAAACGGGGGCUAAUACCGGAUAGGAGCCGCUGCUGCAUGGUGGGGGUUGGAAAGUUUCGGCGGGUGGGGGUGGACGCGCGGCUUAUCAGCUUGUUGGUGGGGUAGUGGCUGACCAAGGCGUUGACGGGUAGCCGGCCUGAGAGGGUGACCGGCCACAUUGGGACUGAGAUACGGCCCAGACUCCUACGGGAGGCAGCAGUGGGGAAUAUUGCACAAUGGGCGGAAGCCUGAUGCAGCAACGCCGCGUGCGGGAUGACGGCCUUCGGGUUGUAAACCGCUUUCGCCUGUGACGAAGCGUGAGUGACGGUAAUGGGUAAAGAAGCACCGGCUAACUACGUG
rnacentral:rRNA from 1 species